CGCCGGCGGCACGCCUAACACAUGCAAGUCGAACGCAGUAGCAAUACUGAGUGGCAAACGGGUGAGUAUAAUGUGGGAAUCUGCCUUUUGGUUUGGAAUAACACGGGGAAACUUGUGCUAAUACCGAAUAAGCCCUUACGGGGAAAGUUUUAACGCCGAAAGAUGAGCCCGCACUUGAUUAGCUAGUUGGUAAGGUAAAAGCUUACCAAGGCAACGAUCAAUAGCUGUUCUUAGAGGAAGACCAGCCACAUUGGGACUGAGACACG
rnacentral:rRNA from 1 species